CACAUUGAUCUCGUUUUAAUACUUGAAAUUGUUUUCGUAACAGGUUCAAGAUGUCGCACUCUGGUGCAAGAUACUGCGCAGCGAGUAACUGCAGGAACAACAGCACAGACGCUAAAUGCAUGAGCUUCUUCACCUUCCCGAAGGAUAAUGACAGAUGUGCUGAAUGGAUAGAAAACGUUCAAAGUCCAGAGUUAAAGAAGCUUUAUCCAGACGGGCGCUCCUUGCACAAACGAUGUUACCUGUGUGCUUGCCACUUUGAAGAACAGAUGUUUACCUCCACUGCCAAGAACCGGUUGAAAACUACAGCAGUUCCAACUUUGCUGUCUUCUGCUCGUCAUCCAUUUGUUUAUCGAGCCAAACGUAAGUCUACUUCAGAAGAGGACAACUUUCCACAGCCCCUCACGAAGCAACAAAAAUUGUACAGCUCUGUUUGUGUUUCACAAACAUCGAACCCUCUGUCAAUGUGUACUACUGCUACGGUCUGUCCCGCAACCAAACCAGUCCCAACGGAUAAACAACAAGCGCUGGCUGCGGCCAUUCGAGGUAUCCAAACUGAGAUUUCUGAAGUAACUGUAGCCAAAAGUUCCCAAACUGACGCCAGUAAUCACGAAACUCCUGUGCCAGCCAGAACUCCCAUUCUCUCAACUCCAUCAUCCGCGAAUGAGACUCCUUCCAAUGCAACUUCAAGCAUGGUGGAAACUGAACCCUCGACAUCCAAUACCAAUGCAUGGUCCACAGAUGAGCCGAUGCUCCCACCAAACACCCACGGAACUCCUCAUGCCAAAGUCUCACGCAGUGCAACCUCAAAAAUGGUGAAUGCUGGGUGCCAAACGGGAAAACUCCUAUCUACCAAUACUCCCCGAAAAAAUACCCUGCGAAAAAAAAAGCGAGCUCUAGCCAGAAAGCUACGUUACGCUGAGGCAAAAUCAAGGCCGCCAAAUGCAAGCGGUACGAACCCCAAGGCGGAAGAGCAUAACAAAUAUGCCAAAUUCCUUGAAUAUUGUAGCGUAUUUCUCCCCAAGAAUGUUGCUGACAUCACAAAAGAACAAGCUACUUUGCACGCUACUAAGAAUCCGAAAGGAUAUCGCUACAGCAUGCAAUUCAAGCAAUUUGCCUUGACACUGUUCUAUAUGAGUCCGAAAGCUUACCGCUAUGCUCGUACCAUUUUUGUGUUACCCGCUCCGCGCACGCUGAGGAACAUAACAGCAAAAUGGAAAAUAACAGCCUGGGUUUAAUGAAAAUGUAUUCCGAGUAUUACAGGCUAAAGCGAAUU
rnacentral:lncRNA from 1 species